GCCGUUAUAGCUCAGUGGUUAGAGCAUCGCACUCGUAAUGCGGGGGUCCACGGUUCAACUCCGUGUAGCGGCA
rnacentral:tRNA from 3 species